CACGUAGGGGGCGAGCGUUGUCUGGAUUUAUUGGGCGUAAAGAGCUCGUAGGCGGUUCGGCAAGUCGGGUGUGAAAUUUCGAGGCUCAACCUCGAAACGCCACUCGAUACUGCUGUGACUGGAGUCCGGUAGAGGAGUGCGGAAUUCCUGGUGUAGCGGUGAAAUGCGCAGAUAUCAGGAGGAACACCAACGGCGAAGGCAGCACUCUGGGCCGGUACUGACGCUGAGGAGCGAAAGCGUGGGGAGCAAACAGG
rnacentral:rRNA from 1 species